rnacentral:rRNA from 1 species
AUUGAACGCUGGCGGCAUGCCUUACACAUGCAAGUCGAACGGCAGCAUGAUCUAGCUUGCUAGAUUGAUGGCGAGUGGCGAACGGGUGAGUAAUACAUCGGAACGUGCCCUGUAGUGGGGGAUAACUAGUCGAAAGAUUAGCUAAUACCGCAUACGACCUGAGGGUGAAAGUGGGGGACCGCAAGGCCUCAUGCUAUAGGAGCGGCCGAUGUCUGAUUAGCUAGUUGGUGAGGUAAAGGCUCACCAAGGCGACGAUCAGUAGCUGGUCUGAGAGGACGAUCCGCCACACUGGGACUGAGAAACGGCCCAGACUCCUACGGGAGGCAGCAGUGGGGAAUUUUGGACAAUGGGCGAAAGCCUGAUCCAGCAAUGCCGCGUGUGUGAAGAAGGCCUUCGGGUUGUAAAGCACUUUUGUCCGGAAAGAAAUGGCUCUGGUUAAUACCUGGGGUCGAUGACGGUACCGGAAGAAUAAGGACCGGCUAACUACGUG